AAUUGCGGGCACCUAGUUAUUACAACCGCAUUAAACCGUUAGGUACAUAUACCUAAUAUAUUAUGCACCUAAUAAUUAUUUUAAUAUUUCAAAUAGUUAAAUAAAUAGGUAUUUUGUUGUAAAGUUUAAAUUGCUCGUUUAACAUUUAUAAUCAUUAUCAAACGUAUGAAAUAACUUUUUAAAAUGUGAUACUUUUAUUAAUACAUUCUGACUGUGACAACGAUACUCAACAUACAACAGACAUUGUGGUUCCACGAGACUUUUUCUUAAAGAUGCCAGGGUCACUACGGUCGUAAAAGUUUGGGAACCGCUGCCUUAACGAGUGAUAAAGUUUUAAAAACGAUGUCUGAGACAAUGGUAGAAAAUAUAUUUUCCAGAAAACGUGAAUACGUAAUACAAAAUACCUACGUGAUCUAUUAUAUUUGAUAAAUGCAGCUAAGUAUAAUAUUAUAUUAUGAUAUACGGUUUAUAUUAGUUGGCUUAAAAAUCGUUUAAUCUCUCUGUAUAGUCGUAAUCCGGUGAUGGCGAUAGCAUUAUAAAAUAAUAAAUAUUGUAAUAAUAUAACAUUAUGAUGGGUACCACACUACCACCUACCUACAUUUUCCGCAGUGAGUAGGUACCUAUCUAUUUACUGUACAUAUUAAUAUAGGUAUUAUAUUAUAUUUAUAAAAUAUGUUUGUUCAAGAAAACACGUAAGACAUUGUGGCUUUUCUUGCAUAACGAUUAUAAGUACUUAGAUAUCUUUCUCUCUUCAUAAGCAAAAAUAAUAAAAUAAUAUGUUUUAGAUUAUAGACAUAUUAAAAAAUAAAUUUCUUUAUGAUUUACACCACGUCGUUAUCUUUAGAUAUAGGUACCUACAGGUUACGACAGUAUAGUGAAGUUGCGAGUAUCUACUAUUUCGAUGUAUCGUCUAAACAUAUAUUAUAUUUAGACGAUUACCUACCAUUGAUAACUAAAUAUCGCUACAUUAUCAAGCAAUUAAUCUGCGAGUGCGGUGCCGUUUAACAAUGUCAUAUUAUUCAUAAUGCCGAAUAAUAAAUAAAAUAUUUUUUACGAUCGCAUUUCAAUCAAUUCAUACGAUAGACUGGAGCAGUUUAGGUGCCAUCGUGAAGUCGACAAUAUAUAUAACAAAAUAAUAAGACGCACGUGAAGGCAUACCGAGUAAACUUUGUUGGCUAGCUAUCUAAUAUCGUAUUCGGAGACGUUUUAGGUCGUUGUCAAUGUAUAGCUGCUGCAGUAUAAUCAUGACAUUAAUAUUUCGCGCAGACACUUUCUAUAAAGUGUACGUCGGUGCCUACUACUACCUAGGUAUAAGGUAUAACCGGGUGUACUGUGAGAGCCGAAGCCGACAGGUAGGUGCUGCAUUUGGUUGUCCAUUACCUACGUACAGAGAGCUGUACGCCCAUUUACCGUUUUUUUAGUCGUACCUAUAAUUUCAUAGUCACUGCAGCGUACCUAGUCCCGGCGGCUAGUCGUACGUCGUCGUUCGGCCGUAUAAAAGUACGUGACGAGAAUUAAUAUUCUAAUCGACCAAAUUUCGCGAUCUAGUUUGUUUUUUUUUGCUCAGAUUAUUCAUAUCGUAAUAAUAUUAUUGUUAUCGACCGCGGAUUUACGAUUUUCGCAUAGGUUCACAUACACACAUCGUAACAGGAUGUAGGCAGGCAUUCUAGGUCGUAUUUGUGUAUCGCGGCCGUCGGGGCGUAGUGCGCGGUGAUCUCGAAAAAUCGUCGAUCGUUUUGUUUUCAUGUCAUAGGUUACAUAUACCAAGUAGUAGCAAGUAUAAAACAAGUAUGUAUUGUAUAAAUAAAUGUGGGCACAACCGAAAAACUGUCGUGUUCUUUAAACAUUUAUUUUUUUCAGUUUACACUUUUUUUAGUUUUCAAGCGUAAAAAAAUAAUUCGUUUGUUAUACACAGUAUCAGUUUAAUAUUAUUCGCGGCGGUACGAAAUAAUAUUAAUAUUGUGCGAACUGCGAAGUGGGACGGACAUGCGCAAGCGUACGUGAAAUCAGGUUGAACCCGCGCAGAUCGGUGGUGGCGGCAGCAGACAGUGUUUUGAAAAGAAAAAAAGUGUGGAAAAUUGUUCAUCAUCGAUCGUCGCUAACUUCAACACCCGAAACCGUUCCUAUUAUCAACACCUGUGAUUCAUGAAGACUAGUGAUAAUUUUUCGGGUUCUGUUAUUAUUUUGUAGAUACUUAGUUGUUGUAUAAUGUAUAAUAUUAUUAUUAUUAUGCGUUUUUUAAAUGUCGCGAAAAUGUUCUGUUAUAGAAUUCACUCGUCGCUUAUUUUUUAGCGUUAAGACGGACGGCACCACGGUUCCCGCCCUUUCCUUUAGAUUACUUGGUCGACCUUUGAACAAAACACCCACCC